UACGGAGGAUCCAAGCGUUAUCCGGAUUUAUUGGGUUUAAAGGGUGCGUAGGCGGCCUAUUAAGUCAGGGGUGAAAGACGGUGGCUCAACCAUCGCAGUGCCCUUGAUACUGAUGGGCUUGAUUACACUUGAGGUAGGCGGAAUGUGACAAGUAGCGGUGAAAUGCAUAGAUAUGUCACAGAACACCAAUUGCGAAGGCAGCUUACUAAGGUGUCAAUGACGCUGAGGCACGAAAGCGUGGGGAUCAAACAGGAUUAGAUACCCUGGUAGUCCACGCCCUAAACGAUGAAUACUCGAUGUUAGCGAUAUACAGUUAGCGUCAAAGCGAAAGCGUUAAGUAUUCCACCUGGGGAGUACGCCCGCAAGGGUGAA
rnacentral:rRNA from 1 species